GGUUUUUUCUAUAAUAAUAUGUGUAAACAAUAUUAAAACAUUUGCUCUUUUCACAGGCUAGAAUGUAGAUAUAAUAACAAUUUCUGCCACUGUUUCGCUGUGGUCAUCUUAACAUUGUUUCCCGAUUGUUAGAACUUCUGUGAGAGCAGCUUACCCAAAAACAAGGCAGCGGGCAUUAUGUAACAUCAGCUGGCACUUUCAAUUUGUGAUCGGAAAAGCAAAGUUUAGUUAGAAAUCGGUCAUUCAACCUUUAUGUAAAGCAGCUUUUUAUAUGGUAACAAUGUAUAGCCUUGUACAGUGCUACAUCACAGCAUAGAAUGUUUCACAAUAGAAACCAAUGUAAUACUUCGAUUAUAAUGCAAUACAAUAUCACCAAGAAUCAGUGAAGUUAUAGCAUAUUCAAUUGCUAUUUCAUUAUUUUGUCACGAACGCUGUCACAUAGAAAUGAUUCUGCUAUAAACGCAUUCGGUUUUCAAAAGCUUUUUAUUCUUUAUUUUCGCAUAUAUCUGAG